UACAGAGGGGGCAAGCGUUAUUCGGAAUUAUUGGGCGUAAAGAGCGUGUAGGCGGCCAGAUAGGUCUGCUGUGAAAACUCGAGGCUCAACCUCGAGCUGUCGGCGGAAACCAUUUGGCUAGAGUCCGGAAGAGGAAAGUGGAAUUCCUGGUGUAGCGGUGAAAUGCGCAGAUAUCAGGAAGAACACCCGUGGCGAAGGCGGCUUUCUGGGACGGUACUGACGCUGAGACGCGAAAGCGUGGGGAGCGAACAGG
rnacentral:rRNA from 1 species